rnacentral:rRNA from 1 species
UCGCUUGCCAGGGAACUACGAGCCCCAGCUUAAAACCCAAAGGACUUGGCGGUGCUUUAGACCCCCCUAGAGGAGCCUGUUCUAGAACCGAUAACCCCCGUUCAACCUCACCCCCUCUUGUUCUCCCCGCCUAUAUACCGCCGUCGUCAGCUUACCCUGUGAAGGACUAAUAGUGAGCGUAAUUGGCACAGCCUAAAACGUCAGGUCGAGGUGUAGCGUAUGAGGGGGGAAGAAAUGGGCUACAUUCACUGAUCCAGUGAAAACGAACGAUGCCUUGAAACACUUAUCUGAAGGAGGAUUUAGCAGUAAGAGGGCACUAGAGCGCCCCUC